GGCUGUAGCUCAGCUGGAUAGAGUACCUGGCUACGAACCAGGCGGUCGCAGGUUCGAAUCCUGCCAGCCG
rnacentral:tRNA from 1 species